GUGUCAGCCGCCGCGGUAAUACGAAGGGUGCGAGCGUUAUUCGGAAUCACUGGGCGUAAAGGGUGCGUAGACGGUAUGUUAAGUUUGUUGUUAAAGGCUCCGGCCUAACUGGAGUAUUGCGAUGAAAACUGGCAAACUAGAGGGUGAGAGAGAGAAGUGGAAUUCCCGGAGUAGCGGUAAAAUGCGUGGAUCUCGGGAGGAACACCAAUGGCGAAGGCAGCUUCUUGGCUCAUUCCUGACGUUGAGGCACGAAAGCGUGGGGAGCAAACAGGAUUAGAAACCCCAGUAGUCC
rnacentral:rRNA from 1 species